rnacentral:rRNA from 1 species
AGAAUGAACGCUGGCGGCAUGCCUAACACAUGCAAGUCGAACGAAGCCUUCGGGUUUAGUGGCGCACGGGUGCGUAACGCGUGGGAAUCUACCCCUUGGUUCGGAAUAACAGUUGGAAACGACUGCUAAUACCGGAUGAUGACGUAAGUCCAAAGAUUUAUCGCCGAGGGAUGAGCCCGCGUAGGAUUAGGUAGUUGGUGUGGUAAAGGCGCACCAAGCCGACGAUCCUUAGCUGGUCUGAGAGGAUGAUCAGCCACACUGGGACUGAGACACGGCCCAGACUCCUACGGGAGGCAGCAGUGGGGAAUAUUGGACAAUGGGCGAAAGCCUGAUCCAGCAAUGCCGCGUGAGUGAUGAAGGCCUUAGGGUUGUAAAGCUCUUUUACCCGGGAUGAUAAUGACAGUACCGGGAGAAUAAGCUCCGGCUAACUCCGCGCCAGCAGCCGC